ACUAAAAUAUAUUAAUAUGUUGAAUUAUUUAGGUUUCCCUUGACAAAUCUCAAGCAUUAGAGCUACCUGGAGAUGCUCCUCCAACCUUCCUCGAGAAAGUUUUCCAGUAGGACAGGGGAGCACAAGACAGAGGAAACAAAAGAAUCUAGGACAGUGAGGACACUUGCAACAGAGCCCUA
rnacentral:lncRNA from 1 species